GGGGAUAUAGCUCAGUUGGUAGAAUGCUUGCCUCAUAUGCAAGUCCUGGGUUCAAUCCCCAGCACCACCA
rnacentral:tRNA from 2 species